GCGAGGGUGGCGAAACUGGCAAACGCAAGGGCCUUAAAAGCCCUCGUCUACAACGACUUGCGGGUUCAAGCCCCGCCCCUCGCACCA
rnacentral:tRNA from 3 species